AUACGUAGGUGGCAAGCGUUGUCCGGAUUUACUGGGCGUAAAGAGUAUGUAGGCGGAUAUUUAAGUCAGAUGUGAAAUUCCCGGGCUCAACCUGGGAAGUGCAUUUGAAACUGGGUAUCUAGAGUGUGGAAGAGGUAAGUGGAAUUCCGAGUGUAGAGGUGAAAUUCGUAGAUAUUCGGAGGAACACCAGUGGCGAAGGCGGCUUACUGGUCCAUUACUGACGCCGAGGUGCGAAAGCGUGGGGAGC
rnacentral:rRNA from 1 species